rnacentral:rRNA from 1 species
GGGGAAUAUUGCACAAUGGGCGCAAGCCUGAUGCAGCAACGCCGCUUGAGGGAUGACGGCCUUCGGGUUGUAAACCUCUUUUAGCAGGGAAGAAGCGAAAGUGACGGUACCUGCAGAAAAAGCGCCGGCUAACUACGUGCCAGCAGCCGCGGUAAUACGUAGGGCGCAAGCGUUAUCCGGAAUUAUUGGGCGUAAAGAGCUCGUAGGCGGUUUGUCGCGUCUGAUGUGAAAUCCGGAGGCUCAACCUCCGGCCUGCAGUGGGUACGGGCAGACUAGAGUGCGGUAGGGGAGAUUGGAAUUCCUGGUGUAGCGGUGGAAUGCGCAGAUAUCAGGAGGAACACCGAUGGCGAAGGCAGAUCUCUGGGCCGUAACUGACGCUGAGGAGCGAAAGGGUGGGGAGCAAACAGGCUUAGAUACCCUGGUAGUCCACCCCGUAAACGUUGGGAACUAGUUGUGGGGUCCAUUCCACGGAUUCCGUGACGCAGCUAACGCAUUAAGUUCCCCGCCUGGGGAGUACGGCCGCAAGGCUAAAACUCAAAGGAAUUGACGGGGACCCGCACAAGCGGCGGAGCAUGCGGAUUAAUUCGAUGCAACGCGAAGAACCUUACCAAGGCUUGACAUAUACGAGAACGGGCCAGAAAUGGUCAACUCUUUGGACACUCGUAAACAGGUGGUGCAUGGUGGUCGUCAGCUCGUGUCGUGAGAUGUUGGGUUAAGUCCCGCAACGAGCGCAACCCUCGUUCUAUGUUGCCAGCACGUAAUGGUGGGAACUCAUGGGAUACUGCCGGGGUCAACUCGGAGGAAGGUGGGGAUGACGUCAAAUCAUCAUGCCCCUUAUGUCGUGGGCUUCACGCAUGCUACAAUGGCCGGUACAAAGGGCUGCAAUACCGCGAGGUGGAGCGAAUCCCAAAAAGCCGGUCCCAGUUCGGAUUGAGGUCUGCAACUCGACCUCAUGAAGUCGGAGUCGCUAGUAAUCGCAGAUCAGCAACGCUGCGGUGAAUACGUUCCCGGGUCUUGUACACACCGCCCGUCAAGUCAUGAAAGUCGGUACACACCUGAAG